rnacentral:rRNA from 1 species
UACGUAGGGGGCUAGCGUUGUCCGGAUUCAUUGGGUUUAAAGGGAGCGUAGGCGGGUUUAUAAGUCAGUGGUGAAAGCCGAUCGCUUAACGAUCGAACUGCCAUUGAUACUGUAGACCUAGAGUACAGAUGAUGUUGGCGGAAUAUGACAUGUAGCGGUGAAAUGCAUAGAUAUGUCAUAGAACACCGAUUGCGAAGGCAGCUGACAAAACUGUAACUGACGCUGAGGCUCGAAAGUGCGGGGAUCAAACAGG